CAGCCUGACUAAACACGUUGCACUAUUAAUACAUCGAAUAUACAAUUAGCCCGUUGGACAAACCUUAAAGAUAGCAGGACACAGCUCAACGGAGGAAGAUUCACGGCAGCGACCAGCACAAAAUGGCGUCUGAAAACAGCGUCACAAGCGACACAAAGGGGAAUGUCGAACCAAGGAGUUAGGAGAAAUGGCCCAGUAAAGCUGCGGUUGACAGUCCUAUGUGCAAAGAACCUGGCAAAAUAAGGCCAGGGUGCAGUAUGUAUGGAAGGAGGGCUCCGGUAGUUUGGACACGCUAACUGCUCUGCUGCUAACAACAACAUGACUACCAACCAGCACAAAAAUGGCGUCUGACAACAGGGUCUCCCCAGGGGUUAUUUAAAUCCCUGCAUGUGUAGGCGUGGCCAACCCGCCGGUUACAAUUCACUCUCACUGCGCAUGCUCGCAGACACAGACAAAGAGAGGUCAUUUGGAGGACAGACGUCGAACAAGUGCGGAGGCUUUUUUUUUCCCCACAAAGAAGAAUAAUUGGAAUAUCACUGGGAGCAAGCAGUAAGUGAACUUAUUCCAUGAAUUGUUUUUAUGACGUUUUCAGAUAAAUGUUCGAGUUGUGUGCUUAAUUCUGCGACAGACAAAUGCCCUUUAAAGAUUAAAAAUGGCGUCGACACGAGGUCGGUCGGUCGACGGACGGGACGGUGUUUAACUUGCUAAACACGUGCUAAACACAGAUGUUUUAUUUGAAACUAGUUUUUCUUGGUCAGAAAUGAUGAUGUUUGACUUUUUUGCAACUUAAUUUCAUCAGCUCAUCAGUGCCGAAACUUAAUUGACUGACUGUGCUUUGCUUGCAUUUUUAAUGAUGAAAAUCCGAAUUGAGAUGCAUUUCCUAACACUGCACAAUGAGAUACAGUUUAUAAACGUAUCGUGGUCCUAUUUUUAAGCUGAAUUUGUACAUUUAGAGCAGCAGAAACUUAAAGGGUACCAUCGCAUAUCGUGCCCUGCAGUGGAAUUUUCCACCAGCGAAACCCCCUCCCCUCCCUGGCAGACACACAGACACAGACCAUCUCCCAAACUGAGUUAUUCAAAGCAAUAAUGUUUUAAUUUAUUUUUUUGUAUGUGUUGGGUAACUUAUUUACUAUGA